AAGCGCUUGAGAUCAGACUUCCUGUCAGAACUGUCCUUGCUUAUGCAUGGGUCAACAGUUUUGGUUUGGAGGCCAGCAUCAGUUUUGACGGCUGGAUAAAGGUUUAGGGAAUGUAGCUCCCCUCGGGGAGUGUUAUAGCCCUUUGCGUAAUACAGCCAGUUGGGACUGAGGACCGCGGCUUUGCCUAGGAUGCUGGCGUAAUGGUCUUAAGCGA
rnacentral:rRNA from 1 species